rnacentral:rRNA from 1 species
AGAAUCAACGCUGGCGGCGUGCCUAACACAUGCAAGUCGCACGAGAAAGGGACUUCGGUCCUGAGUAAAGUGGCGCACGGGUGAGUAACACGUGAAUCAUCUACCCUCGAGUGGGGAAUAACCUAGAGAAAUCUGGGCUAAUACCGCAUAAUACUUACGAGUCAAAGCAGCAAUGCGCUUGGGGAGGAGUUCGCGGCCGAUUAGCUAGUUGGCGGGGUAAUAGCCCACCAAGGCGAUGAUCGGUAUCCGGCCUGAGAGGGCGCACGGACACACUGGAACUGAAACACGGUCCAGACUCCUACGGGAGGCAGCAGUGGGGAAUUUUGCGCAAUGGGGGAAACCCUGACGCAGCAACGCCGCGUGGAGGAUGAAGUAUCUUGGUACGUAAACUCCUUUCGAUGGGGAAGAUAAUGACGGUACCCAUAGAAGAAGCCCCGGCUAACUUCGCGCCAGCAGCCGC